AUUGAACGCUGGCGGCAUGCUUUACACAUGCAAGUCGAACGGCAGCGCGGGCUUCGGCCUGGCGGCGAGUGGCGAACGGGCGAGUAAUAUAUCGGAACGUACCCAAGAGUGGGGGAUAACGUAGCGAAAGUUACGCUAAUACCGCAUACGCUCCAAGGAUGAAAGCAGGGGACCGCAAGGCCUUGUGCUCCUGGAGCGGCCGAUAUCUGAUUAGCUAGUGGGGGAGGGAAAGGCUCACCAAGGCAACGAUCAGUAGCUGGUCUGAGAGGACGACCAGCAACACUGGAACUGUGACACGGUCCAGACUCCUCCGGGAGGCAGCAGUGGGGAAUUUUGGACAAUGGGGGCAACCCUGAUCCAGCAAUGCCGCGUGAGUGAAGAAGGCCUUCGGGUUGUAAAGCUCUUUUGUCAGGGAAGAAAAGGCUGUGGCUAAUAUCCACAGCUGCUGACGGUACCUGAAGAAUAAGCACCGGCUAACGACGUGCCAGCCGCCGCCGUAA
rnacentral:rRNA from 1 species